GCUGUCCCCCCCCAACCCACCCCCGGGAUGGGGCCGCUUUUACGGGAGUGCUUAAGGGUUAGCCGUCUCCCCUAGGCUCUCCACACCCAGGCCCCUCCGUCGCUGGGCCCACUGCUCUGCGGCUGGGACGUGAGGGCAAGGACAUGGGCGGCAGGGACGGGGGCUGGGCCACCUGCUUCCACCAGCGACCCAGCGUCCGACUGGCCGGGGGUGGUAACCUAGUUGUGAUGAACUCUAUUUGGCCUCAGGGCAAAUCUUCCAACAUUGAAUUUGGGGCCCUUAAGUUGAUGCUGUUUCUUUCCAUAAAGAUAUACAUAUAGGGUCGCCUGUGAAUUCAGUGUCUCUGCCUCUCUCUAUCCUGGCAGCGCAAAGUCUCUCUCACACGCUGUAAAGGACCCCACGCGGGCAGGUGGGGCGAUGGAGACCUCAGGCCUGCGACGCGCCAACGUUGGCCGCUUUGUCCAAACUCUGAACCUGCACUUGAAGAGAGUUUCAAGGGCUCGCUGCUCCCGUCAAGAAUGAACCGACCCCCGGGGUCCCUCCCACUCACCCCCUAGGGUCCGAGUCCUCCUGCCCCUGAACCUGCAGAGAAGGGUGUGCGGCCUUCAUCGCCUGGACCCCUGGGCAGCCUCCUAAGGAUGUGAAGCGAUUGGCAGGCAGACUGGCCCCUGCGUCCUGCGUGCCUCCGGUCGGUCGCUAGGAUGUUCCUCAUGAACGUGC